rnacentral:tRNA from 1 species
CACGCGGUGGCCGAGCGGCGAGGCGACGGACAGCAAAUCCGUAUCAGGCGCGUUCGACUCGCGCCCGCGUGUCCA